GAUGAACGCUGGCGGCGUGCUUAAUACAUGCAAGUCGAGCGAACAGACGAGGCUCUUGCGCCUCUGUCGUUUGCCGCGGGCGUGUGUGUCACGCGUGUAUCAUCUACCUAUCUUUCUGGGAUCUCCACGGAACUCCGGAGCUUAUAGCAGAUGAGCUAUUGAUGCGCGGUGUUCGUUGGAGAGAUACGGUUGUUCUGUCUCUUCUAGCGGCAUCGCCGCCGCAUUAGCUAGUUGGUAAGGAAACGGCUUACCAAGGCAAGGAUGCGUAGCCGACCUGAGAGGGUGAUCGGCCACACUGGAACUGAGACACGGUCCAGACUCCUACGGGAGGCAGCAGUAGGGAAUCUUCCGCAAUGGGCGAGAGCCUGACGGAGCAACGCCGCGUGAGUGAUGAAGGUCUUCGGAUCGUAAAACUCUGUUAUUAGGGAAGAACAAAUGUGUAAGUAACUAUGCACGUCUUGACGGUACCUAAUCAGAAAGCCACGGCUAACUACGUG
rnacentral:rRNA from 1 species